UUUUUUUUACCUAUGGAUCCCUUUGAUUCCUAUUUUACUUGUGUGUACCCCCAUAGCCAUUUCUUGGAUAACCCUUUACUAUUUAAACCGGCCAUCUCCGACCAAAAUAGCUAAUCUGUUUUAUGUUCAAACUGACCAGAUCCAGGCUCUCACACCUACCCUACAAUGUUAUUCUA